GAAGUUGGCAAAAUGGAUCUAUUAACUUUGGACAAAAGACUGGCUCCGAGGACUAGGCCGAACGGGCUCUAGCUUGGAACUGUCGUGGCUUCGGCGAGGAAUUGUAGCUGGGUGAUUAUUUGGUGCUACAGAAUCGGCUAGCUUUGCUUGCCUAUAAACCAUUGCAUGGGCUGACAGUAGACGGUUAGAGCUGCGUCGAUCGGGGUUCAAAUCGAUCAACGCUUCGUUCGUCGCGUAACAGCCGACUCAGAACUGAGAUAGACCAAGCGAUUCCAACUGCCUUAUCAAUAUAAAGCACUGCGAUGUUCGGUGGUCGGUGAUCUGCACGAAAACCACACUCUUCCUCAAAAUUAAGGAUCUUUCUGU
rnacentral:ncRNA from 1 species